rnacentral:rRNA from 1 species
CCUACGUGAGGCAGCAGUGAGGAAUAUUGGUCAAUGGACGAGAGUCUGAACCAGCCAAGUAGCGUGAAGGAUGACUGCCCUAUGGGUUGUAAACUUCUUUUAUAAAGGAAUAAAACGAGGCACGUGUGCCUUUUUGCAUGUACUUUAUGAAUAAGGAUCGGCUAACUCCGUGCCAGCAGCCGCGGUAAUACGGAGGAUCCGAGCGUUAUCCGGAUUUAUCGGGUUUAAAGGGAGCGUAGAUGGGUUGUUAAGUCAGUUGUGAAAGUUUGCGGCUCAACCGUAAAAUUGCAAUUGAUACUGGCAGUCUUGAGUACAGUUGAGGUAGGCGGAAUUCGUGGUGUAGCGGUGAAAUGCUUAGAUAUCACGAAGAACCCCGAUUGCGAAGGCAGCUUACUAAACUGUGACUGACAUUGAUGCUCGAAAGUGUGGGUAUCAAACAGGAUUAGAUACCCCUGUAGUC